GACGAACCGUGCGAACGUUGUUCGGAUUUACUGGGCGUAAAGGGCGCGUAGGCGGCCACCGCAAGUCGACUGUGAAAUCUCCGGGCUUAACCCGGAAAGGUCAGCCGAUACUGCGGGGCUAGAGUGCAGAAGGGGCAACUGGAAUUCUCGGUGUAGCGGUGAAAUGCGUAGAUAUCGAGAGGAACACCUGCGGCGAAGGCGGGUUGCUGGGCUGACACUGACGCUGAUGCGCGAAAGCUAGGGGGGCGAACGGG
rnacentral:rRNA from 1 species